GAUGAACGCUAGCGGCAGGCUUAAUACAUGCAAGUCGUGGGGCAGCAUGAGUGUAGCAAUACAUUUGAUGGCGACCGGCAAACGGGUGCGGAACACGUACACAACCUUCCUUCAAGUGGGGAAUAGCCCAGGGAAACUUGGAUUAAUACCCCGUAAUAUUAUGGAGUGGCAUCACUUUAUAAUUAUAGCUCCGGCGCUUGAUGAGUGGGUGUGCGCCUGAUUAGGUAGUUGGCGGGGUAACGGCCCACCAAGCCUUCGAUCAGUAACUGGUGUGAGAGCACGACCAGUCACACGGGCACUGAGAC
rnacentral:rRNA from 1 species